rnacentral:tRNA from 2 species
CCUUCGAUAGCUCAGUUGGUAGAGCGGUGGACUGUAGUUGCAAAUUACUCAGCUCUGAGUAAGUAGUAAAUAGUAAUCCAUAGGUCGCUGGUUCAAAUCCGGCUCGAAGGA